rnacentral:lncRNA from 1 species
UUGUUACUCAAUUCAUAAUCACAUUUUUACUUUCUCAAUUACGCUACAUAGGCUUUAGCCUAUGGUAAUAGGAAAGUUUUGAAUUCGGGUCGAUUUUCGACUUUUCGGAUUCUUAAUCUAAAAGCUCUGAUUCGGCGAGAAAUUUUGAAAAAAGUUCGAUUUUCGACCAAGGUCUGUACGUAUGUGUGUGUGUGUGUGUGGAUGUAUGUAUGUAUGUAUGUAUGUAUGUAUGUAUGUAUACAAAAUAUCUCAAGAACGGUAAGUCGUAGGAACUUGAAACUUUUUAUACAUACUGAGGGUACCUAUGGGACGCGACUGUAACAUUUUCGUAAAAAUCGACCAACUUUUUUGGGUCGAUUAAUCAGGCGAUUUUCCGAUCGGUUCCCCUUUUUUCGCGAUUUACUCCAAAAUGGUACAUUUUAUGGGGAUAUGUAUAAGAAUAAAACAUGCUUAAAAUACAAAUUUACACCAAAAAAUAAUAUAAAAAUGUUAAGUUAAGCAACUUUCAGUUUGGUCGGUACUUGGAUUUUUUUACUUCCCCAUUUUUUUUUUUUUUUUUUUUUUUUUUUAAAUGAAUAGCAUUGCAGUAAUUGAGAAAGUAGUGUGGUUGCACACCAGAUUUUUAUUUGUAUGGUCCUUCUG